CCUACGGGUGGCAGCAGUGAGGAAUAUUGGUCAAUGGACGAGAGUCUGAACCAGCCAAGUAGCGUGAAGGAUGACUGCCCUAUGGGUUGUAAACUUCUUUUAUCUGGGAAUAAAAUGUUCCACGUGUGGGAUUUUGUAUGUACCAUAUGAAUAAGGAUCGGCUAACUCCGUGCAAGCGGCCGCGGUAAUACGGAGGAGCCGGGCGUUAUCCGGAUUUAUUGGGUUUAAAGGGAGCGUAGGUGGAUUGUUAAGUAAGUUGUGAAAGUUUGCGGCUCAACCGGAGAAUUGCAGUUGAAACUGGCAGUCUGGAGUACAGGAGAGGUGGGCGGAAUUCGUGGUGUAGCGGUGAAAUGCUUAGAUAUCACGAAGAACACCGAUUGCGAAGGCAGCUCACGGGACUGCAACUGACACUGAGGCUCGAAAGUGUGGGUAUCAAACAGGAUUAGAUACCCCGGUAGUC
rnacentral:rRNA from 1 species